rnacentral:tRNA from 1 species
GCCUCGAUAGCUCAGUAGGGAGAGCGUUAGACUGAAGAUUCAAAGGUCGCUGGUUCGAUCCCGGCUCGAGGCA